AGCGUCGGACGACCAUAGUCCCGCCACAGCCAACAACGAAUUGCACGCCGCGGCCCUGUGGGUAUUGCACCGUCUACUGUGUCUAUUGCGUCCGGUGCAACCCGGGCCGCAGGUGUGGCUGAUCGAUUUCAAAAAUAGUUCCACCUUCCGCAUAUCGAAUAAUAGUUGCCCCUUCUGCGUUACUUCUUCGAUUUUGUAAGCUGCAGUGUCUGUAUUUUUUAAAAUAUGAUUGUUUCCCUCAUCUAUAUUUUACUAUGUGAUUUCUUUCACUGCAUAAGGUCCGUAAUUGUAUUGAAAUUUGGAUUGCUUAUUGUAUUGUCUUCAAUAAUAUAAAGUUUAUUCCUGAAUUAAUGAAUUGUUGUCUCGCAAAUGAUUGUUGUUUCACAAAUUGUGUAUACGCUUUGAUCCUUAACAAGUAUGAAUUGUGUGUGCAUCUCGAGUCCUUGACAAAUAAACAAGGUGUAUUUGUCAAUCCAAGUACAAUGAUAUCUAAAAAAAUGUUCAUGUGUUUCAACAUAAUAUUCAUACAAUGUAAGAACGUCUUCACAAAUUGAAAAUAAUGUUCAUACCAUUCAAGAAAAAGCACAUGAUAUCUAAAAAAUGUUCAUUGAUUUCAACAUAAUAUUUUUGAUGCAUUUUAAAAAAUAAUUACACAAUACAAUAAAUGUUUGCAUAAUGAAAAAUAAAAUGCUUGGUACCAUUCAAACAAAAUGUACCUGACAUUUAGAAAAAUGGUUAAGGAAAACUUUAAAAAUGAUAUAUGCAAUGUAAAGAAAUGUUCACGUAAUUUAGAAAAGUUUUGUAUCUAUUUAAAAAAAUUCUGCAUCUAUUGGAAAAAUAUUUAACAUGUAUGUGAAUAAUAUUCAAUGUAUAUCAAAAACAACUAACGCAUGUACCGAACUGUAAAUACGGUUGCCCUAUUGAUAACAUCGUUUCUCGCUACCCCUUGAUAAACACAUGUAUUGGUCGACAUAAUUUUUAUUUUAUUUUAACGGUCAAUGUAAAGUUAAAUAGAGAGAUACCUUUCAUAGAACCUAGCAAUCGAUGGUGUUCUUUCCGUGUAAUGAGGAUGCAUAUUCAAAUAACAAUUUGCAACAUAAAAAUGAGUUUGAUAUCAAUCUAUACGGUGUUCCUAAAAUUUGAAUUGAUAAUUAGUUUUAAAAAUCCGGAUGGCAGUUUUCGGUAUCCGCGGUAACCAUGUUUCUCGCUCCCCUCGCUGAAAUUAAACAUUGGUUUUACGAUAGAAAUGCUAAAACAUCCUUAGAAUUAAUUAAGUGGGAGAGCCCAGGAUACACUAUGUUUACAUACCGUGACGUGUGACAAAUGAAUACACUGUAUCUAAACAUCUAAGAGGCUUCAAAGCCUGUUGAAGCUUCUCUUUUAUUCGUACACAACUACGUUCAAUCCAAACUUGCUAACCCCUCCUUUUCGGUUUACAGGUCUCAUCUUAAAAAUUUCUGAUUUCCGUUAUAUUAGGCUCAUUUUAAGUCUAACUGAAUUAAAAUGCUUUGAGUUUCACGCCAUAUUUAAUUCAUAGAGAUUAGAGAAAAAAAUUAAUGGAUAUGCAUGCAUCUUUUUCUACAUUCAUCAUGCAAGUCCAAUGAAAAGAAGGAUGCUACAUUUAUUGCCUCGAAAAUUAAAUAUGUGAGAAAUAUUUCAUUGGCUAGUUAAAACUAGUGCUAUCCUCUCAUAAUUCACCUUGAUUAAUUGGAUUUUAGAUUUGAGUCCUAUAAACUGAAAAGGAGGGAGUAUAUCCCAAGAUGUAGGAAAAUAUCCGCUUAAAGGAAAGUUUGUCUUGCUUGACUGCCAAACCUAAGACAAACCUUUCCACUCAUGGGGCAAAUGGUGUUAGAUGGGAAAGACCUAAAAAGGAUUGACUGAACCCAAAUUUGGACGGAUCUUUCACAUCUGAUGGAACCGUGGUAUGAUCUUGCGUGACCAUUUGGGAAAAANNNNNNNNNNNNNNNNNNNNNNNNNNNNNNNNNNNNNNNNNNNNNNNNNNNNNNNNNNNNNNNNNNNNNNNNNNNNNNNNNNNNNNNNNNNNNNNNNNNNGUGUAUACGCUUUGAUCCUUAACAAGUAUGAAUUGUGUGUGCAUCUCGAGUCCUUGACAAAUAAACAAGGUGUAUUUGUCAAUCCAAGUACAAUGAUAUCUAAAAAAAUGUUCAUGUGUUUCAACAUAAUAUUCAUACAAUGUAAGAACGUCUUCACAAAUUGAAAAUAAUGUUCAUACCAUUCAAGAAAAAGCACAUGAUAUCUAAAAAAUGUUCAUUGAUUUCAACAUAAUAUUUUUGAUGCAUUUUAAAAAAUAAUUACACAAUACAAUAAAUGUUUGCAUAAUGAAAAAUAAAAUGCUUGGUACCAUUCAAACAAAAUGUACCUGACAUUUAGAAAAAUGAUUAAUGAAAACUUUGAAAAUGAUAUAUGCAAUGUAAAGAAAUGUUCACGUAAUUUAGAAAAGUUUUGUAUCUAUUUAAAAAAAUUCUGCAUCUAUUGGAAAAAUAUUUAACAUGUAUGUGAAUAAUAUUCAAUGUAUAUCAAAAACAACUAACGCAUGUACCGAACUGUAAAUACGGUUGCCCUAUUGAUAACAUCGUUUCUCGCUACCCCUUGAUAAACACAUGUAUUGGUCGACAUAAUUUUUAUUUUAUUUUAACGGUCAAUGUAAAGUUAAAUAGAGUGAUACCUUUCAAAGAACCUAACAGUCGAUGGUGUUCUUUCCGUGUAAUGAGGAUGCAUAUUCAAUUAACAAUUUGCAGCAAAAAAAUGAGUUUGAUAUCAAGCUAUACGGUGUUCCUAAAAUUUUAAUUCAUAAUUAGUUUGAAAAAUCCGGAUGGCAGUUUUCGGUAUCCGCGGUAACCAUGUUUCUCGCUCCCCUCGCUGAAAUUAAACAUUGGUUUUACGAUAGAAAUGCUAAAACAUCCUUAGAAUUAAUUAAGUGGGAGAGCCCAGGAUACACUAUGUUUACAUACCGUGACGUGUGACAAAUGAAUACACUGUAUCUAAACAUCUAAGAGGCUUCAAAGCCUGUUGAAGCUUCUCUUUUAUUCGUACACAACUACGUUCAAUCCAAACUUGCUAACCCCUCCUUUUCGGUUUACAGGUCUCAUCUUAAAAAUUUCUGAUUUCCGUUAUAUUAGGCUCAUUUUAANNNNNNNNNNNNNNNNNNNNNNNNNNNNNNNNNNNNNNNNNNNNNNNNNNNNNNNNNNNNNNNNNNNNNNNNNNNNNNNNNNNNNNNNNNNNNNNNNNNNCUACUAGUGUUGUUUGGUGAGACCUUUUGUGGCGGUACUAUUUAAAGAUUUGCCUUACACUCGGUAAACUCUUGACCACUACCAGACAGCCAUGUGUCCAUCAGGUUUGCCUUACCUUUCUCGGCACAAAGCAAAGCUUUACCGAGUGCGACACUAAUCAAACUCGUGUCCUAGAAGCUAUCACAUAGUGCCACGUGUCAUGUUUGCCUAGCGUUGCAUUGAGGAAACACGUCAUAUUUAAUUUUUGGAAAGCCAUGCAAAUAAAGAUCAAUUCAUUAAAAUAUAUUUUAUCAUCACAUAUAGCUGAAGAACCCAUUGAUGGAAAACCAACCUGAACUUGAAUGGUUAGGAGGACAGUAGCAUUAUCCUUGGACUUAUUUUCAUCGUGUGCGAGUCAUCUAUAAUGACUUCGUAAAAUCCCAAGAUGCCAUGCCGACGCAGUUUUGCAAAGGCAUUCAUAAAGAUAGAAUGUAAAGAUAGAAUGUGCUUCCGUGCGUUCACAAGCUUCGAGUGUAUGCAAGGGCGUUGCCAGGCCCCAGGCUACCUUUGUUGAUUUUAGCUUUAUUUUCUGACAAUAGUUAUCACUGUAGCAAUGAUGUUGGCCCAUCGCUAAUCUCUGACCUGGCUAUGUCAAUUGUGUAUGUGAACCAAUUUGACUGUAGUGUGUUUCAAAAAGAAUUGAUGGACUAGUGGGCGAAAGUAGCCAGUCAAAAAAAAAAAGGAAAGAGAUGAAGUAUACAAAUUAUAUUGACCCCGAGACUAGCUUUUUUUCAGAAAAGAAGGAAGACCCCCGGCCUUUGCAUCUGAGCAAUGCAUGCAGCCAUUUUAUUAAUUAUUUACAAAGACCUUACAAGGUCAUACAUCAGUAAGACUGAAGUCACCGUCUAGACAACAUAUGUCGCUAGUUCUAUAUAGUUGAUGAAGGGAUGCUGAUAGUCUGGGUCUAAUACCAAACAGACCUCGCAGCCAAACCUAACAUCUAAGACCUGAUGCCCCAACCAAGCCACCUGCUUGGUAUGGGGCACCCACCGGUGCGGCGCACACUGACAGGUCGUCGCCGCCAACUGUCAUUAAUACAUCUUCAAAACUGUACUGACGCAUCCACCUUGCCCGGUCUAGCUGCCGUCGACGCCACCACGACGCCAGACAGCGUCGCCCUCCAGCGCGAGUCCAUCCUCGCAUAUCAGACGCCUAAUCACCAGGGCGUCUCGCCAUCGAGAUCCGUCGCCCUCAAUGUACAGGAUGAAGCACCGCUCCACCGAAGAAAACAUCCACUGGUCCCCGAACCCGGGUACACCUCCAAGAGAUGAAGUAUAUAAAUUAUAUUGACCCCGAGACUAGCUGGUGAUUGGAAUUAUUUUCCCAACUGACUAUAAAGGAUAUCACAUGGUCAUCGAUUAGGAAUUCACAAGUCACACUCACAUGCAUGCAUGCAUGCGUGUCAACAUAGCUAAUUCAAUUGUUUUUUAAAUGUGAAAGCCCAAUACUGAGCUACAGACAGCUACACCAAGACUUCUUCUACGUGCUUAUCUGUAUAUGAUUUGGUCGUUGCUUCGUUAAGGACAUCUGAAGCUUGUGUUCGGACGAGCACAUGUACAAGCUCGGUUACAGCCUACACGUAGAUGUAGUUGAAGACUUACACACCAAGUCUUUGUGUAUAUGCUUUGAUUCUAAAUCAAAUCAUGUUGCUUAAUUACUCAAACCGCGUCUCAAGCCAUUAUUUCUUUUGUGUAGUUAGUUGGGUACUAAUACUACGCGCCCCACACAUGCACGCAUCUUAUACAUCUAGACUAUAUAUAAACCUCCACAGCGCGCUGCAAAACAAAAAACACCCAAUCCCAAACCCAACCCAAGAGGAAGAACACACGAAGCAAACGUCCAUCGGGCAUGACGAUCCACCACCACAGCCAUGGGUGCCCGCUUGUCCGCCAUGAGCACGGCGACUUCACCUGCGACGGCUGCGGCCGCGGUGGAAGGGGUGCCCGCUACCGCUGCCACGGCUGCAAUUUCGACCUGCAUCUCUCCUGUGCCACGUACAACUUCCCCUGCCAUGGUCACCCGCUCAAGUAUCAGCCGCGCUGUCCUUCAGGUGUCCAGAUCAUCUGCGAUGCUUGUAACACAAACGUGUGCGGUGCACACUAUGGUUGCGCUGGCUGCGACUUCCAAGUCCACCCCGCCUGCGUCCAGCGUCGGACGACCAUAGUCCCGCCACAGCCAACAACGAAUUGCACGCCGCGGCCCUGUGGGUAUUGCACCGUCUACUGUGUCUAUUGCGUCCGGUGCAACCCGGGCCGCAGGUGUGGCUGAUCGAUUUCAAAAAUAGUUCCACCUUCCGCAUAUCGAAUAAUAGUUUCCCCUUCUGCAUUACUUCUUUGAUUUGGUAAGCUGCAGUGUCUGUAUUUUUUAAAAUAUGAUUGUUUCCCUCAUCUAUAUUUUACCAUGUGAUUUCUUUC
rnacentral:lncRNA from 1 species